rnacentral:rRNA from 1 species
UACGUAGGGUCCGAGCGUUGUCCGGAAUUAUUGGGCGUAAAGGGCUCGUAGGCGGUCUGUUGCGUCAGGAGUGAAAACUCGGGGCUCAACCCCGAGCCUGCUUCCGAUACGGGCAGACUAGAGGUAUGCAGGGGAGAAUGGAAUUCCUGGUGUAGCGGUGAAAUGCGCAGAUAUCAGGAGGAACACCGGUGGCGAAGGCGGUUCUCUGGGCAUUACCUGACGUGAGGAGCGAAAGUGUGGGGGAGCGAACAGG